rnacentral:rRNA from 1 species
AGAGUUUGAUCAUGGCUCAGAACGAACGCUGGCGGCAUGCCUAACACAUGCAAGUCGAACGCUUUGUCGGUUUCGGCCGGCAAGGAGUGGCGCACGGGUGAGUAGCGCGUGGGAACCUGCCCUCUUGUGGGGGAUAACCGAGGGAAACUUCGGCUAAUACCGCAUGCGCCCCUGGGGAGACCUGGGGGGAAAGAUUUUAU